UGCACCCCGCUGACGAGCGGCGGACGGGUGAGUAAUGCAUAGGAAACUGCCCAGUAGUGGGGGAUAGCCCGGGGAAACCCGGAUUAAUACCGCGUACGCCCUUCGGGGGAAAGCAGGGGAUCUUCGGACCUUGCGCUAUUGGAUGUGCCUAUGUCGGAUUAGCUAGUUGGUGGGGUAAAGGCCUACCAAGGCGACGAUCCGUAGCUGGUCUGAGAGGAUGAUCAGCCACAUCGGGACUGAGACACGGCCCGAACUCCUACGGGAGGCAGCAGUGGGGAAUAUUGGACAAUGGGGGCAACCCUGAUCCAGCCAUGCCGCGUGUGUGAAGAAGGCUUUCGGGUUGUAAAGCACUUUCAGUGAGGAGGAAAACUCUGCGACUAAUACUCGUAGGGCUUGACGUUACUCACAGAAGAAGCACCGGCUAACUCCGUGCCAGCAGCCGCGGUAAUACGGAGGGUGCAAGCGUUAAUCGGAAUUACUGGGCGUAAAGCGCGCGUAGGUGGUUUGAUAAGCGAGAUGUGAAAGCCCCGGGCUUAACCUGGGGAACGGCAUUUCGAACUGUCAGGCUAGAGUAUGGUAGAGGGUAGUGGAAUUUCCUG
rnacentral:rRNA from 1 species